rnacentral:lncRNA from 1 species
GGGAAACGUAGACGUAAGGGUUCGCCGGCGGCGGCGGCGGGGAGGCGUAGACGUAGGUGUUCGUCGGCGGCGGCGGGCAGUUGGGGGAGGAAGGCGGCGGUGGCGACGGGGCGGCGGGGAGAGGAGCGGGUGGCACGGGUUGUCGCACGAGGAGCACAUUGUACACGAGACGCCGUCUUUCACCACCACCGCGGCGGCCGCCGCCGCCGCCGCAGACGGUGGCGACGGGGCCAGCACCAGCAGAAGGCAGAGCAUGAAGAGACCCCAUGCGCCGCCCAUAUCGGAGGAGGAGGAGGAGGAGGAGGAAGAAGAAGGAGAAGAAAAAGAAGAAGAAGAGGAAGGGGAGAUCAGGGAGGAGGAGGAAGAAGAGGGGGCAGUGGAGAGGAAUGUGGGAGGCUUUUCUGGAGAGAGGAAUUAUAAAGAGAGGGAGGGGGAGUGGGGCCGUCGGUUGGUGGUGCUCAUGGGGCCGUGGC